UCAGGACGAACGCUGGCGGCACGCUUAACACAUGCAAGUCGAACGGAGAAUAUUGGUUACUGAGUAUCUUAGUGGCGGACGGGUGAGUAACACGUGAGCAACCUGCCUUUGAGAGAGGGAUAGCUUCUGGAAACGGAUGGUAAUACCUCAUAACAUAGAGAGACCGCAUGACUUCUCUAUCAAAGAUUUAUCACUCAAAAGAUGGGCUCGCGUCUGAUUAGAUAGUUGGUGAGGUAACGGCUCACCAAGUCGACGAUCAGUAGCCGGACUGAGAGGUUGAACGGCCACAUUGGGACUGAGACACGGCCCAGACUCCUACGGGAGGCAGCAGUGGGGAAUAUUGCACAAUGGGGGAAACCCGUAGAUGCAGCGAUGCCGCGUGGAGGAAGAAGGUUUUCGGAUUGUAAACUCCUGUCUUAAAGGACGAUAAUGACGGUACUUUAGGAGGGAAGCUCCGGCUAACUACGUGCCAGCCGCGGC
rnacentral:rRNA from 1 species